rnacentral:tRNA from 1 species
GAGGGUACAGCUCAGUGGUAGAGUGUGUGCUUAGCAUGCACGAGGUCCUGGGUUCCAUCCCCAGUACCUCCA